rnacentral:rRNA from 1 species
GAUAUUUAAUUUAAUGGCUGUGGUAUUUUAACUACACGAAGGUAGCAUAAUCAUUUGUUUAAUAAUUUUAGACUAGUAUGAAAGGUUAAAUGAGAAUUAAUCUUUCUUAUUUAUAUAAAUAAGAAGUUUUCUUUUAAGUUAAAAGACUUAAAUUUUUUUAUAGGACGAGAAGACCCUAUAGAACUUAAUUAAUAAGCUAAUAAUAUUAUUAGCUUAUUAAUUGUAUUGGGGUGAUAAAAAUUUUAUAUUAACAAUUUUUUUUUUUUCAAUUAUGUUUGAUUUUUUGAUCCAGUAGUUUUGAUUAUAAGACUAAGUUACCUUAGGGAUAACAGCGUA